rnacentral:rRNA from 1 species
UACAGAGGGUGCGAGCGUUGUCCGGCAUCACUGGGCGUAAAGGGCGCGUCGGUGGUGGCUUAAGCGUGCGGUGAAAGCUCGGAGCUCAACUCCGAGUCGGCCGUGCGAACUGGGCUCACUGGAGCAUAGUAGAGGCAGGUGGAAUUCCGGGUGUAGCGGUGGAAUGCGUAGAGAUCCGGAAGAACACCGGUGGCGAAGGCGGCCUGCUGGGCUAUGGCUGACACUGAGGCGCGACAGCGGGGGGAGCAAACAGG